rnacentral:rRNA from 1 species
GACGUAGGGGGCGAGCGUUGUCCGGAGUUACUGGGCGUAAAGGGCGUGUAGGCGGUUUGUUAAGUCAGGUGUGAAAUGCCAAAGCUCAACUUUGGCACUGCGCCUGAAACUGGCAGGCUAGAGGACAGGAGAGGGAAGUGGAAUUCCCGGUGUAGCAGUGAAAUGCGUAGAUAUCGGGAGGAACACCAGUGGCGAAGGCGGCUUCCUGGACUGUACCUGACGCUGAGGCGCGAAAGCUAGGGGAG